UACGGAGGGAGCUAGCGUUGUUCGGAAUUACUGGGCGUAAAGCGCGCGUAGGCGGCUUUGUAAGUUAGAGGUGAAAGCCCGGGGCUCAACCCCGGAAUUGCCUUUAAGACUGCAUCGCUUGAAUCCGGGAGAGGUGAGUGGAAUUCCGAGUGUAGAGGUGAAAUUCGUAGAUAUUCGGAAGAACACCAGUGGCGAAGGCGGCUCACUGGACCGGCAUUGACGCUGAGGAACGAAAGCCAGGGUAGCAAAAGGG
rnacentral:rRNA from 1 species